CGAAGGGGGGACGGAGAAGGCUAUGUUGGCCGGGCGACGGUUGUCCCGGUUUAAGCGUGUAGGUGUGUGUUCCAGGUAAAUCCGGUUCACUUUAACACUGAGGCGUGACGACGAGGCACUACGGUGCUGAAGCAACAAAUGCCCUGCUUCCAGGAAAAGCCUCUAAGCAUCAGGUAACAUCAAAUCGUACCCCAAACCGACACAGGUGGUCAGGUAGAGAAUACCAAGGCGCUUGAGAGAACUCGGGUGAAGGAACUAGGCAAAAUGGUGCCGUAACUUCGGGAGAAGGCACGCUGACACGUAGGUGAAGUGAUUUACUCAUGGAGCUGAAGUCAGUCGAAGAUACCAGCUGGCUGCAACUGUUUAUUAAAAACACAGCACUGUGCAAACACGAAAGUGGACGUAUACGGUGUGACGCCUGCCCGGUGCCGGAAGGUUAAUUGAUGGGGUCAGCGCAAGCGAAGCUCCUGAUCGAAGCCCCGGUAAACGGCGGCCGUAACUAUAACGGUCCUAAGGUAGCGAAAUUCCUUGUCGGGUAAGUUCCGACCUGCACGAAUGGCGUAAUGAUGGCCAGGCUGUCUCCACCCGAGACUCAGUGAAAUUGAACUCGCUGUGAAGAUGCAGUGUACCCGCGGCAAGACGGAAAGACCCCGUGAACCUUUACUAUAGCUUGACACUGAACAUUGAGCCUUGAUGUGUAGGAUAGGUGGGAGGCUUUGAAGUGUGGACGCCAGUCUGCAUGGAGCCGACCUUGAAAUACCACCCUUUAAUGUUUGAUGUUCUAACGUGGACCCGUUACCCGGGUUGCGGACAGUGUCUGGUGGGUAGUUUGACUGGGGCGGUCUCCUCCUAAAGAGUAACGGAGGAGCACGAAGGUUGGCUAAUCCUGGUCGGACAUCAGGAGGUUAGUGCAAUGGCAUAAGCCAGCUUGACUGCGAGCGUGACGGCGCGAGCAGGUGCGAAAGCAGGUCAUAGUGAUCCGGUGGUUCUGAAUGGAAGGGCCAUCGCUCAACGGAUAAAAGGUACUCCGGGGAUAACAGGCUGAUACCGCCCAAGAGUUCAUAUCGACGGCGGUGUUUGGCACCUCGAUGUCGGCUCAUCACAUCCUGGGGCUGAAGUAGGUCCCAAGGGUAUGGCUGUUCGCCAUUUAAAGUGGUACGCGAGCUGGGUUUAGAACGUCGUGAGACAGUUCGGUCCCUAUCUGCCGUGGGCGCUGGAGAACUGAGGGGGGCUGCUCCUAGUACGAGAGGACCGGAGUGGACGCAUCACUGGUGUUCGGGUUGUCAUGCCAAUGGCACUGCCCGGUAGCUAAAUGCGGAAGAGAUAAGUGCUGAAAGCAUCUAAGCACGAAACUUGCCCCGAGAUGAGUUCUCCCUGAGACUUUAGGUCUCCUGAAGGAACGUUGAAGACGACGACGUUGAUAGGCCGGGUGUGUAAGCGCAGCGAUGCGUUGAGCUAACCGGUACUAAUGAACCGUGAGGCUUAACCUUACAACGCCG
rnacentral:rRNA from 1 species